CUUAUUUGUCUCGCGAGAGUUGGCAACUGUGCUGUAACUGACAAGAGGAAACACACCGUCUCUCGCCGCUGUUUUCACUGCUUUCAGGAGUGACAAAAUAACCCUUCUACAACAGAAGGGAAUGUCCAAGAUUUCAACAUUCCUGAAGGGAGCUGCUGACAGAGAUGUAGGAAACAUAGCAGAGUUGAAGUGAACUUUCUGUCAGACAACAUCUUCAAGAUGCUAUAAACUUCAGGACUAGGUUAUUAAAAACUGCACAGCACCAGGACUUGUGAGGACUUCAGUUGAUGCCAAUACUCAAAAAGACCUUAGAUGAUGGCAACUAUAGAUGGACAUACAAACUCCAACCAACCAGAAGUGAGGCCAGAAAUGUUUAAGUGGGUGGGCAAGGUGCGUGUAAGAAAACUGCAUAAUUGCCAACAGAAAAUACAGCACAAAUGUUCAAUGCACAACACUUCUAAAGCAUUAAUUAACAUUAAUUUUAAUUUCAACAUUUUCUAAUAAUUAUUAACAUUUAAAUUUAUCUGUUAACAUUCGUACCUGAGCUAACAAAAAAGUUGUAGCCUAUUUUUAUUAACUAACCUUAAAAAUUAAUUAAUACUGUAACAAAUGUAUUUCUCAUUGUUAAUGUUAGUUAAUGCAUUACCUAACCUAAGUUUAUUGUAAAGCAUUACCUUAGUCUGAGACGACGGAGCUUCACAGAUGAUCUUAUAAUCAGUCUCUGUCAGUUCGCGUUCAAAGGAGAGUAAACGAAUACCGCAGAAAUGUGCACAGCUGCAAACAUGCAGUUUGUUGUGGAGAAGAGUAUGUAGCACAACGUUUAUGUGUUUCUUUCUACAAAGGACGCAUCUAUUUAGCGGUUUAAACACUGUACCGUUGCUAAUAUGAUGCUUUAAACACACUCAUAAGUUUCCAAUCUAAAUCCAUCACCCGGUGGUCUGGUUUCGUUUGUAGGCAGUCUGGAUUCAGUGCUAAGACUUAAGUUUCAUUUGGGAUAUCCAAUAUUUUUAAAGACUGAUUGAGGUUUGUUUCACUAUUUUCAAAUUCAACAUUAUUUUAAAACGUGCGCAUUUUACUAUGUUCUUACGUCGUAAACAUAAAUGUGGGUGGGACUAACUGAAUCGUCACUGACGAACCAUCAUUUUUGACAAGGGUAUGCUAUAUGCACCUAUAGGAAGAAAACUCACAUUAAAUAUAUUUUAAAGUAAAUGUAUGAAGUUAUAGGGAAACUAUUCAUUUAUUAUUAUUAUUAUCGUUUAAUAAAUAUCAUUCAUUUGGAAAAGUACCAACUUCUCAUUGGGUGGGCCACGGCUGAAAGUGGGUGGGCCUUGGCCCACGCGGGCCCACCCGUAGCUUCGCCACUGCCACCAACAGACUAGUAAGUCUGGGUUAAAAGAUGGCUGCAGCUUGCCAGAGAUGGGAUGGAGGCCGUCGGCCAGGAGAGAAGAUUUAAAGGUGCAUUAUGUAAUAUUGACAGCCAGCGGUUGAACUGACUGCUGCAAAUUUUCAAUAUCUGCAAACGUAAUAUUUUAAUGCUUUAAUACUGUCAAAAAAUACAUACAGCACCUUUAAGAUGUUGUCUUUUCCUGUCUCCAGGUUGUUGGUAUCGGACUGCUUUUUGGCUUUGAUCCUCACUUGCCCCUGACCUCUUGUCUGAAUUACCCUCUGGAUUGAUGUUUUCUUUGGACUGCUUUCUGGUUUUGACCCCUGUCUGUUUAAUGGACUCCCCUUUUGCCCUGCUCAUGGUUAGUUACCUAGUUAUCGAACUGUUGAUUUGAAUUCUCUAUUUCUUUGACUCCUCUUGCAGAAAUGUGUUGUGCUCCUCUGGUUAACAAUGUAUCAGUUCAGUCAGAAUAGUUGAAUGUAUAUACUUUAUUGGAAUUAUGUAUGUAUCUGUAUUUAUCUGUAUUUGUUUUAUAUCUAUAUCUAUAUCUGCAUUUGCAUUUAUCUGAUUUCUCUUGUUCUUUUUUUCUUCCGCUCGAAGUCUAUGGCAGCCCAUAGAACCGCUUGCGGGAAACUUGUGAAAUUUGGCACACUGAUAGAGGACAGUCCCAACAUUAACCAUAGCAAAUUUGGAGUCUCUAACUCAAACUCUCUAGCGCCACCACUUGUCCAAAGUUGCACUCAUGUUUAUGCUAAUAACUUUUGAACCGUAAGCCACAGAAGUAAAACUAUUUUUUCCUCUAAUUCCGUGGCUCAUACUGAGUCGAAUGGAUACCAAAAUUAAAAAAUUGUAAGGUUUAGUUUUUUUGCUAUUUUUAAUUGUUCGUAAAACCUACGUUUUCGAACUCGUCCUAGGCCGUUGCACCGAUUGUCACAAAAUUUGAACCAGAUCAUAUUCAGACCAUGCUUGCAAAAAGUUAUGCCAUAUUCUAUAAAAAGUCAAACCAUUCUUGAAUAGCGCAUGAACAAAUUCUACGAAAAGCAUGCAAAAAUGGAUGUGAGGCUAUAUCUUCGCAACAGUUUGGCGUAUUGAGACCAAUCUUGGUGUGUGUUAUGAAAAGCAUGACCUGAGACUACCUGCAGUGUUUCGGCGCUGUGCCCCCUAGUGGUCACAAGAUAUGAAAAAUGCAUAUUUUUGCUUAUAACUUCUGAAUGGUUUGGCCAAAAAUCACAAAACUGGUCUCUUCAGAUUCGGUGCAUCAUGCCGAGUCGAAUAAUACCCAGUUUUCCCAUGUCAGCCAUUUUGAAUUGUUCUAAAACGCUGUAUUUUACGAAGGCAUUAGCGUAUCAUUACAAAACUCGGUAUGCAUCUUCGGCACCAUACCCUGAUGGUACUCAAAACAUUUGGCGGCAGCGUCACCUUCUGGUCAAAAGUUAUAAUGAAAUUUCGAAAAAAUGCUAAAAACUUUUGCUUAUAUUAGCCUAUUGUAAUGAGACUGAUGUUGAUUCCUUGUAUCAGGCUGAGAACACCGAUGCCAAUUUUACCUAACAGUUCGCAAUUAAAUCCAUAUCCUACCUUUUCUUGUAACCCGAUAAAAUCAAUCCAUGGUGCUGAACGUCGUCGGAGAUGUUUAAUCCACACGCAUAUCUGAGCAUGCCUGCUUGCUGGCGUUCACAUAAAUCUACAAGUCGUUCUUUUAGGUUAGGCUAUUUCAUUCAAGUCAAUAUAGGCUAAACAAUUAUUAUACACUCAAAUGUUUAACUUUUAGUCUGCUUGUCACUGUCAAAAAAAAAUAAAAUAGUCACAUUUUAUGCAAUAGCCUAUAUGAGAUAGCCCAUGAUCACUAGAUUAUAUACAGGUGCUACUAUAACGAUUUUGUAAAUGGUGAUCAGCAACCAAAUAUUGAUAAUGUGGAGGUUACUGUGUUUUGCCUUGGUGUGACUUGUCACUUUUUGCAGAUAAUGCAAAGGCAGAGUACAUUAACUUCAAAAUAGGGGUAAAAAUCAAGUUUGAGCUCACAAUUUUUUAAUGUAGAUAAUGUUCAUUACUAAAACACAUAAUUGCCAAAUUUCCAGUGUCCUACCUAUAAUUAAUAUGGCUGGACAAGUAAAAAACUUUAAAGUCAUUUUUCUCAGUUUCACACUAGCGAGUUAAGGUAUUUUGCCUUUGUAGGGCAGUAUUGAUUUAGGUUAUUUGAUUAGGGUUUCUUUCCAAUUUAAUUUACUUUAUUUUUUUUUAUAUCUUAAAUGUAUUAUUUGGUAUGUUGUAUAGAGUGUGAUAUGAAAAUUGAAUGUCUUGAUAUGUAAUUAUUUAAUUUAUGAAUGCCUCUCUUUGUUGGUGUUCAAAGUGUUUGAAUAAAAAAAAUAAAUGAAUA